ensembl:lncRNA
CAGAUGUGUUUUUGAUGUCCCCAUGUCCCCCCAGCUGUCCCCAGCUGUCCCCAGGUGUCCCCAGAUGUCCCCAGCUGUCCCCAGAGGUGUCCCCAGAUGUCCCCAGAGAUGUCCCCAGCUGUCCCCUCACCUCUUUGCUGUCACAGGGGGGUCUCUCUGGCGCCUGCAGCUGGAACAGGAAGUUCUGCUCCUCCAGGGCGCUGAGGGGACACGGCCACCCCGCGUGGCCACCGGGGACGCGGCAGAAGGCGCCCACGGGGACCUCCCCGGAGUGGUGGCUGCAGGGGACAUCAUUGGGGACAUCACUGGGGACAUCCCUGGGGACAUCCCUGGGGACAUCCCUGGGGACAUCCCUGGGGACGGCCUUGGGGACGUCGGGGACCAGGGGAACAUGGGGGAAAAGGGUUCUUGUGGUGUCCCCAUGGUGUCCCCAAGGUGUCCCCAAGGUGUCCCCAAGGUUCUCGUGGUGUCCCCAAGGUUCUCAUGGUGUCCCCAUGGUGUCCCCAAGGUUCUCGUGGUGUCCCCAAGGUGUCCCCAUGGUGUCCUCAAGGUGUCCCCAAGGUCCCCAAGGUUCUCAUG